rnacentral:rRNA from 1 species
AUUGAACGCUGGCGGCAGGCCUAACACAUGCAAGUCGAACGAGUGGCGGACGGGUGAGUAAUGUCUGGGAAACUGCCCGAUGGAGGGGGAUAACUACUGGAAACGGUAGCUAAUACCGCAUACCAUGGGAUGUGCCCAGAUGGGAUUAGCUUGUAGGUGAGGUAACGGCUCACCUAGGAGACGAUCCCUAGCUGGUCUGAGAGGAGGACAAGCCAAACGGGAACGGAGAACCGGUCCAGACGAAUACGGGAGGCAGAAGUGGGGAAUAUGGCACAAUGGGAGCAAGGCGGAUGCAGCUAUGACGCGGGGAUGAAGGAGGCCUUCGGGUUGUAAAGUACUUUCAGCGGGGAGGCGUUACCCGCAGAAGAAGCACCGGCUAACUCCGUGCCAGCAGCCGCGGUAAUAC